rnacentral:rRNA from 13 species
ACGGGUGAGUAAUGCCUAGGAAUCUGCCUGGUAGUGGGGGAUAACGUUCGGAAACGGACGCUAAUACCGCAUACGUCCUACGGGAGAAAGCAGGGGACCUUCGGGCCUUGCGCUAUCAGAUGAGCCUAGGUCGGAUUAGCUAGUUGGUGAGGUAAUGGCUCACCAAGGCGACGAUCCGUAACUGGUCUGAGAGGAUGAUCAGUCACACUGGAACUGAGACACGGUCCAGACUCCUACGGGAGGCAGCAGUGGGGAAUAUUGGACAAUGGGCGAAAGCCUGAUCCAGCCAUGCCGCGUGUGUGAAGAAGGUCUUCGGAUUGUAAAGCACUUUAAGUUGGGAGGAAGGGUUGUAGAUUAAUACUCUGCAAUUUUGACGUUACCGACAGAAUAAGCACCGGCUAACUCUGUGCCAGCAGCCGCGGUAAUACAGAGGGUGCAAGCGUUAAUCGGAAUUACUGGGCGUAAAGCGCGCGUAGGUGGUUUGUUAAGUUGGAUGUGAAAUCCCCGGGCUCAACCUGGGAACUGCAUUCAAAACUGACUGACUAGAGUAUGGUAGAGGGUGGUGGAAUUUCCUGUGUAGCGGUG